rnacentral:rRNA from 1 species
GAUGAACGCUGGCGGCGUGCCUAAUACAUGCAAGUCGAGCGAACAGACGAGGAGCUUGCUCCUCUGACGUUAGCGGCGGACGGGUGAGUAACACGUGGAUAACCUACCUAUAAGACUGGGAUGACUUCGGGAAACCGGAGCUAAUACCGGAUAAUAUAUUGAACCGCAUGGUUCAAUAGUGAAAGACGGUUUUGCUGUCACUUAUAGAUGGAUCCGCGCCGCAUUAGCUAGUUGGUAAGGUAACGGCUUACCAAGGCAACGAUGCGUAGCCGACCUGAGAGGGUGAUCGGCCACACUGGAACUGAGACACGGUCCAGACUCCUACGGGAGGCAGCAGUAGGGAAUCUUCCGCAAUGGGCGAAAGCCUGACGGAGCAACGCCGCGUGAGUGAUGAAGGUCUUCGGAUCGUAAAACUCUGCUAUUAGGGAAGAACAAAUGUGUAAGUAACUAUGCACGUCUUGACGGUACCUAAUCAGAAAGCCACGGCUAACUACGUG